rnacentral:rRNA from 1 species
GAUGAACGCUAGCGGCAGGCCUAAUACAUGCAAGACGAACGGUAAGUUGAGUAGCAAUACUUAGCCAAGAGUGUCGUACGGGUGCGUAACACGUAUGCAACCUACCCUAUACAGGAGGAUAGCCUAGGGAAACCUGGAUUAACCCUUCAUAGUAUUAUUGGAUGGCAUCAUUUGAUAAUUAAAACUGAGGUGGUAUAGGAUGGGCAUGCGUCUGAUUAGUUAGUUGGCGGGGUAAUGGCCCACCAAGACGAUGAUCAGUAGGGGUUCUGAGAGGAAGAUCCCCCACACUGGCACUGAGAUACGGGCCAGACUCCUACGGGAGGCAGCAGUAGGGAAUAUUGGGUCAAUGGAUGCAAGUCUGAACCAGCCAUGCCGCGUGCAGGAAG